rnacentral:rRNA from 1 species
CCUACGGGAGGCAGCAGUGGGGAAUCUUCCGCAAUGGGCGCAAGCCUGACGGAGCAAUGCCGCGUGAACGAAGAAGGUCUUCGGAUUGUAAAGUUCUGUCCUUAUCGAAGAGAGGGCAUAGAGUGAAAAAUGAUAUACUAGGACGGUAGAUGAGGAGGAAGCCCCGGCUAACUACGUGCCAGCAGCCGCGGUAAUACGUAGGGGGCGAGCGUUGUCCGGAAUCAUUGGGGGUAAAGGGGGCGUAGGCGGUAAUAUAAGGCAGAAGUGAAAGGUGGGGGCUCAACCCCUAGAGUGCAACUGAUACUGUAUAACUUGAGUGUGAGUGAGGGAGGCGGAAUGCCUGGUGUAGCGGUGAAAUGCGUAGAUAUUAGGAGGAACACCGAUGGCGAAGGCAGCUUUCUGGCUCAUAACUGACGCUGAGGCGCGAAAGCGUGGGGAGCAAACAGGAUUAGAUACCCGGGUAGUC